CAAGUCGAGCGAGAAAGGGGGAGCAAUCCCCUGAGUACAGCGGCGCACGGGUGAGUAACACGUGGGUAAUCUGCCCUGGAGUGGGGAAUAACACCGGGAAACCGGUGCUAAUACCGCAUACGAUCACAGAGUCUGCGGAUUUUGUGAUGAAAGGAGCAAUUCGCUCUAGGAGGAGCCCGCGGCUGAUUAGCUAGUUGGUGAGGUAAUGGCUCACCAAGGCAACGAUCAGUAUCCGGUCUGAGAGGACGGUCGGACACACUGGAACUGAGACACGGUCCAGACUCCUACGGGAGGCAGCAGUGGGGAAUUUUUGGCAAUGGGGGCAACCCUGACCAAGCAACGCCGCGUGGGUGAUGAAGUCUCUUGGGACGUAAAACCCUUUCGACGGGGACGAAACCGCAAGGUUGACGGUACCCGUAGAAGAAGCCCCGGCUAACUCCGUGCCAGCAGCCGCGGUAAUACGGGGGGGGCAAGCGUUGUUCGGAAUUACUGGGCGUAAAGGGCGCGUAGGCGGUUCGCUAAGUCGGAUGUGAAAACUCUGGGCUCAACCCAGAGCCUGCAUCCGAAACUGGCGGGCUAGAGUUCUGGAGGGGGUAGCGGAAUUCCUGGUGUAGCGGUGAAAUGCGUAGAUAUCAGGAGGAACACCGGUGGCGAAGGCGGCUACCUGGACAGAAACUGACGCUGAGGCGCGAAAGCUAGGGGAGCAAACAGGAUUAGAUACCCUGGUAGUCCUAGCCCUAAACGAUGGAUACUUGGUGUGACGGGGAUUGAAUCCCGUCGUGCCGAAGCUAACGCAUUAAGUAUCCCGCCUGGGGA
rnacentral:rRNA from 1 species